UGAGUAAUGAAUACUUAACAUACCUCCAUGAAGGAAAUAGCUAUUCGAAAGAGUAAUUAAUGUCCUAUAGGAGCCAGCCUCACAUGGGGUUGGCUUUAAAGGCGCAAGCCACUUGGAGAUUGGAGUAUUUUCUAUUAGCUAGUUGGCGGGAUAAUAGCCCACCAAGGCAGUGAUAGAUAGCUGGUCUAAGAGGAUGAACAGCCACAAUGGGAUUGAGAUACGGCCCAUAUUCCUACGGGAAGCAGCAGUAGGGAAUCUUCCACAAUGGGCGAAAGCCUGAUGGAGUGAUGCCAUGUGAAUGAUGAAGGUCUUUUUGAUUGUAAAGUUCUUUUAUUGGGGAAAAUGAUGAUGGUACCCAGUGAAUAAGUGACAGCAAACUAUGUGCCAGCAGCUGCGGUAAUACAUAGGUCGCGAGCGUUAUUCGGAUUUAUUGGGCGUAAAGCGAGCGCAGGCGGAUUGGUAAGUUCUGUGUUAAAUGCAGCCGCUCAACGGUUGUAUGCGCAGAAUACUGCUUUUCUAGAAUACGGUAGAAAGUUUUGGAAUUGAAUGUGGAGCGGUGGAAUGUGUAGAUAUAUUCAAGAACACCAGAGGCGAAGGCGAAAACUUAGGCCGAUAUUGACGCUUAGGCUCGAAAGUGUGGGGAGCAAAUGGGAUUAGAUACCCCAGUAGUCCACACCGUAAACGAUGGAUAUUAGAUGUUGGGACUUGAGUCUCAGCGUUGUAGCUUACGUGUUAAAUAU
rnacentral:rRNA from 1 species